UACAGAGGCUACGAGCGUUGUUCGGAAUUACUGGGCGUAAAGGGCGCGUAGGCGGCCUUGUAAGUCAGAUGUGAAAGCCUGGGGCUUAACCCCAGAAGUGCAUUUGAAACUACAAGGCUUGAGUGCAGUAGAGAAUGGCGGAAUUCCCAGUGGAGAGGUGAAAUUCGUAGAUAUUGGGAGGAACACCGGUGGCGAAGGCGGCCAUUUGGGCUGUAACUGACGCUGAGGCGCGAAAGCGUGGGUAGCAAACAGG
rnacentral:rRNA from 1 species